rnacentral:rRNA from 1 species
AUUGAACGCUGGCGGCAUGCUUUACACAUGCAAGUCGAACGGCAGCGCGGGCUUCGGCCUGGCGGCGAGUGGCGAACGGGUGAGUAAUACAUCGGAACGUGCCCAGUAGUGGGGGAUAGCUCGGCGAAAGCCGGAUUAAUACCGCAUACGACCUGAGGGUGAAAGCGGGGGAUCUUCGGACCUCGCGCUAUUGGAGCGGCCGAUGGCAGAUUAGCUAGUUGGUGGGGUAACGGCCUACCAAGGCGACGAUCUGUAGCUGGUCUGAGAGGACGACCAGCCACCCUGGGACUGAGACACGGCCCAGACUCCUACGGGAGGCAGCAGUGGGGAAUGUUGGACAAUGGGCGAAAGCCUGAUCCAGCAAUGCCGCGUGUGUGAUGAAGGCCUUCGGGUUGUAAAGCACUUUUGGCGGGAACGAAAAGGACUGUGCCAAUACCACGGUUCGAUGACGGUACCCGCAGAAUAAGCACCGGCUAACUACGUG